rnacentral:lncRNA from 1 species
UUAUUUCUAAUGUAUCUUUGUGAUCAAUUCUAUAUAUUUUGGUGAACAUUUAACAUUAUCACCUAUUUCUCUGCUUAUAUUAUUUAUGUUUGUGGAUCUAUGUGCUUGUAGGUAUGAAGCUUAUAACAAUUUGUUGAGAUGAUUUUGAUGUUGAUAAAGCUAUUAAGAGAAGUCUUCAUCAAUCUUGUUAUUCAAUGCUUGUUGGUUUAGAUGAUAUCAUCUCAUAUGUUGAUUCAAGUGAUGGUGCUUGAAGAUUGUUCAAGUGAUGGUGCUUGAAGAUUAACCAAGUGAUGGUACUUGAUAUGUGCACUACUAUAAAUAAUAUAUUUCAUGACGACGAUUUCACCCCACGUAUUGAAAAACUGAGGUCAAAUACCUCGAUGAACCUUAUCUUUUUAUUAAAAAAAUAUAAUAUAUUAUGUCGGUUAUUU